GUAGGACACAAGCGUUAUCCGGAGUUACUGGGCGUAAAGGGCGCGCAGGCGGACAUGUAAGUCUACUCUGAAAGCUCCUGGCUAAACUGGGAGAGGCGAGUGGAGACUGUGUGUCUAGAGUGAGGAAGAGGAAAGUGGAAUUCCGCGUGUAGUGGUGAAAUGCGUAGAGAUGCGGAGGAACACCAGUGGCGAAAGCGGCUUUCUGGUCCUUAACUGACGCUGAGGCGCGAAAGCAUGGGGAGCGAACGGGAUUAGAAACCCCGGUAGUCCAUGCCGUAAACGAUGUUCACUAAACGUUCGUGAUCCGCGAGGAUUGCGGGUGUUGAAGCCAACGCAGUAAGUGAACCGCCUGGGGAGUACGGUCGCAAGGCUAAA
rnacentral:rRNA from 1 species